rfam:Triticum aestivum genome assembly, contig: Triticum_aestivum_CS42_TGACv1_scaffold_662234_T_6AL-0.278552_3B-0.161084
CAUAUACUCCCUUCGUCCAAAAUAACUUGUCCCAAGUUUGUCCCUCAAAUGGAUGUAUCUAACAUCAAAUUAGUGCUAGGUAUAUCUCUUUGAAGGACAAGUUUUUUCGGACGGAGUGAAUAUACC